rnacentral:lncRNA from 1 species
GUUUGUCCGAGUCUUUAGGUAUUUGAUUAUUUGAUUUAGUGGCUGAGAAAGUGUAGUAUAUGAUCUUAUUUUAUAGGAGUCGUGGUUAGUGCUGGGAUGUAGUGCUCUAUCAGCUCUGAUGUAAAGCCUAUUUAUAGAUUCUUCUCUCUAUCAAUAUUAUUACAGUGUUUUUCACUUCACCAUACGCCUCUUUUGUGUUUAAUAACUCUGUAUCAAAAUCAUUAAAUCAAUCAUACAAUACAAAAAAAUUGCUUCCAUCUCAUGUUCUUCGUUUUCUUCCUCAAAUUAAAUCUUACACUCACCAUUUUGAACAACACCAAUCAUCUCCAUUAACACUUUCUUUCUUCACAAACCCCCCUGUUAUUCAAAGAACAUAACCACGAAUCAGAAACUAAAGAAGACAUUAACAUGGGAAAAAAAUUACCCUAUUUAUUAAUACCCAUUAAACUACCAUCAUAUACCAAUAAUUUAUACACGGAAAUAUAUUUAAUACCUCCAAAUAAUAAACCCAUAAAUCAAAAAAAUUAUCAAUCAUUGACUUAAUUGUAAGCUCUGCAAUGAACUAGAGUUUCGUUUGGGUUUGGGUAUGAAGAAUUUUUAUUAUGGAGGAAGAGCAGAUGGAUAAAAUUAGGGUGCGAAAGAGACGAACUCUCUGUCUUCUUCAACCUCCAGUUCCGUAUCACCUUCUUAACCUCCAGAUCUGUAUCACCAUUAUCCGCGUAAAGGAGCAAGGAAUAAUCAUAUUCAAUUUUUUCCUCUUCCUCCUUUCAAAAUCGGCUAUUGAAGAACUAUUUUUUGCGGCAAAAUACUUCGACCUUUUCGACAGUGACUAUGGCUGCUAGCACAGAUUUUUGGUGAUGGUUGAUUUGUGAUUGAGGCUUGUUCAUGGUGAAUCGGAGGCUACGUCAAAAUCUAUGGAAGUUCACGACAUGUUAGUGAUUUGGAUUCAACUUUUGUUUGAGGCUUUUUUUUAUUUAUAAAUUCGUUUAAUUAAA